rnacentral:piRNA from 1 species
UGCUGUAUGGAGAUCAAUGCUGAAG